AGCUCUUCUGUGAUGGACAAUUCUAUAAGCUAAAGCCAUUGAAAGUGUUACUGUUAAACAUGAAGUUUCAAUAAGUUAAGUAUGUUAAUUAUGUUGUUGUUAAAAUGUAAAACCUCUAAUGUUACUGUUGAUUUGAAGCUGUAAUAAGCAAAGUUGUUGUUGCAAAGUUGUUGUUACAAAGUUGAACCUGUUAGUUACCUUCACUGUUAAUCCCCGCAGUUCACACCCACCCUUGUUACCUCCGUCAAGUGCUGCCUCCACUGCUCCCUAAAAUGGCGCCGAGGAAACCUCCCUGGGAAAUAUGCAAAUCAAGAGGAAGUCAAGGGAAUCUAACUAAAGACCUUGAAACCGACAAACUAAACUAAAAUUCAAGAAACUAAGUGAAUGGUUCUGCUGGCAAAAAGUACUGCUAUUCAAUUAGUGAGGUUUUAAAAAUCGCUGUAACCUCAACAGAACAAAGUUGAAGUGAGGACCCUAGACUCCGAGCCAGACAGUCGACUUCCUGGGCACGCUCGUGAGGACGGAAGCCCCAGUUCUGCUGUGCAGCAAAACUGCGUCACCUCCUCCUCUGCAUCUCCACAGGGAGCAGUGGCAGUAUGAACCUGCUGGUGAAGGCCCCACAUCCAGGACUGAGCCUCUGGAAGAUGCUGAGGGUGUGUCUGUGGGGAGGACUUCACCAACUCCUACCUUGGAUGCUGCACAAAAGCCCAGCUCCCGUCGCAGGGGUGAGUAGUGUGUCCCUGCUGACCCCACAGGCUGAGCCCUGCUCUUGUGGGAUCCCUUACUGGGAAAUGGAAGUAUUUUUCUCUAGUUCCUCUGACAGGGAAGAUCCAAGACACAACAGAAAAGAUAUCCCUGAAACCAUCCAAACAGAAGAGGCAAGUGCUGAAGCAAAUGUUGCAGGGAGGACAAGGUGGGUGCAUUUCCCUCAUGCUUCCCCUGGGACUCAGCAGCCGGGGGCUUUGGCUGCACAUCUGCACACACCGUGCCCGGUACAGUGAGAUGGGAUCCAUGGCCAAUUCCCAGUGAGGAAUGUUUCCAUCUGAUCCAGCUGUCUCUUUUCCAUUCUCCAGAAAUGAAAGGACAGCCUGUGGAGAAGGAAGCAUGUCCCAGAGGAAGCAGUGGUUCUGUGCCAGCCUCUGCUGCAGGAAGG